rnacentral:rRNA from 1 species
AACGAACGCUGGCGGCAUGCCUAACACAUGCAAGUCGAACGAGACCUUCGGGUCUAGUGGCGCACGGGUGCGUAACGCGUGGGAACCUGCCCUUAGGUUCGGAAUAACUCCCCGAAAGGGGUGCUAAUACCGGAUAAUGUCUUCGGACCAAAGAUUUAUCGCCUUUGGAUGGGCCCGCGUUGGAUUAGCUAGUUGGUAGGGUAAAAGCCUACCAAGGCGACGAUCCAUAGCUGGUCUGAGAGGAUGAUCAGCCACACUGGGACUGAGACACGGCCCAGACUCCUACGGAAGGAGCCAUUGGGAAUAUUGGACAAUGGGCGAAAGCCUGAUCCAGCAAUGCCGCGUGAGUGAUGAAGGCCUUAGGGUUGUAAAGCUCUUUUACCCGGGAUGAUAAUGACAGUACCGGGAGAAUAAGCUCCGGCUAACUCCGUG